GCCUGACUUCUGGAUCUAUACUGACCAUCAGGCCUGCAGCAGCACAGGAAUGUAGAAACUAAAAAUGGGGUCGGAGACAGAAAGUCCAUACGUUCCUGGCCACCACGGUGUCACUGCUCCCAAUACAGGUGUAACCUGAGUCCCCACUUGGGAGCCAGAAAUCAGCUGAGAAGAGACUUCAGGAGAGAGCAGCCCCAGGCGGAGGUGGAGGAAGUGGGGGGCCUCAGCUCCGCUCACCCCAUCUAGCUCGGUUUGCACUGAAGGGUUUGGGGAGGAAAUUUCAUAUUAGAGUUGUUAGAUACUGCAGUAUUCCCUGCCAGCCCACUCAGUGAGGAAAGUCUGUGGACGUACCUCUGGAUUGGGGUCAGAGGAACCAAGACGGUGUCUACUAAGGUAGGUUUUAUGUCACCGACUGGGAAACACAGAGGGCCACAUGAUAGGCUGGGUGUGGUGGCUCAUGUUUGCAGUCCUAGCAGUGGGGAGGCUGAGAGGAUUACAGUGCCUUUGAGGUCUGUCUGGGCUCCAGUAUGACAUCG
rnacentral:lncRNA from 1 species